AUUGGUUCUGUGUCCUUCACCGGAGGGCGGGGAGAGAGAGAGAGAGAGACGAAGGGGAAGAAAGAAAGAAGAAAGGACGGGAGGGCGAGAGAUGGUGCACAGCGCCUACGACUCGGUAGAGCUCCUAAAGGGGUGCCCGGUGAGGAUCGACGCCGCCGCCGCCUAUGGCUCCAAGCUCCUCCUCGGCUGCUCAGAUGCCUCCCUCCGAAUCUACGCCCCCUCCUCCGCCCCCCCCGCACCCCUCGCCAGCGGAGGCGGAGGGGGCGAUGAUGGCCCCCCGCCACCUGACGUCGAGAUCCGGAGGGAGCCUUACCUGCCGGAGAGGACGGUGUCCGGGUUCUGGAAGCGGGCCCCGCUGGCCAUGGAAGUGUGCCGGUCGCGGGAUCUCCUCCUCUCCCUGUCGGAGUGGGUCGCUGUCCACCGGUUCCCGAAUCUGGAGACGGUGGUGGCGAUCGGGAAGACGAAGGGCGCUCACGUUUACAGCUGGGACGAUAGGAGGGGGUUCCUCUGCGUCGGGAGGCAGAAGAGGGUUGCAAUUUAUCGUCUUGAUGGUGGUCGAGAAUUUGUGGAGGUCAAGGAAUUUGGUGUUCCUGAUGUGGUGAAAUCUAUGGCUUGGUGUGGGGAAAACAUAUGUGUUGGUGUUAGAAGGGAAUACAUGAUAAUGAAUAGUACAACCGGUGCAUUGUCAGAGAUAUUUUCUUCUGGAAGGAUUGCUCCUUCUUUGGUUGUUCCUCUUCCCACGGGAGAGCUUCUUCUUGGAAAGGACAACAUAGGAGUUUUUGUUGAUCAAAAUGGAAAGCUUUUACAAGAUGGCAGGAUAUGUUGGUCUGAAGCCCCUGCUUCGGUUGUUGUCCAAAAGCCAUAUGCUGUAGGUCGCCUACCAAGGCAUAUCGAGAUACGGUCCCUUCGAGCUCCUUAUCCACUAGUACAGACAGUUGGUCUUCGUGAUGUUCAUCUUCUUCUCCAAAGCAACAAUUCUUUAAUUACCACAUUAAGCAAUGCUGUUUAUGGUCUGUUACCUGUACCUCUUAUUGCACAGAUUGUACAAUUAACUGCUUCUGGAGAUUUUGAGGAGGCAUUGUCUUUGUGUAAGCUAAUUCCUCCUGAGGAUUCAUCACUUCGAGCUUCUAAGGAAAGCUUAAUACACAUAAGAUAUGCACAUCAUUUAUUUAAUAAUGGGAACUAUGAGGAGGCGAUGGAGCAAUUUCUAGCUUCCCAAGAGGAGAUCACCUAUAUUUUAUCCUUAUAUCCAUCAAUCAUUCUUCCCAAGCUGCAAACCGUUUCUGUACCUGAGAAAUUUGCAGACGCUAAUGAUGAAUUACAUCUCUCGAGAGUUUCAUCUGAUGCCUCAGAUGAGACAGAAUCAUCUUUGUCCCAGCACUAUGAAUCUGAUGAUAAAUCAACGCUUGAGAUUAAAAAAAUGAGCCACAAUGCUCUUAUGGCUCUUGUAAAGUUCUUGCAGAAGAAAAGACAAGGUAUAUUUGAAAGGGCUACGGCUGAGGUAACAGAGGAGGUUGUGCAAGACAGUAUAUCAUCUUAUGAGCCGUAUAGGUCAAAGAGCUCCAAUAAGAAAGGUGGUGGCUAUACCCAUAUCAGCUCAGUAGCCAGGGAAAUGGCAACCAUACUUGACACUGCUCUUCUUCAAGCCCUGAUUCUUACUGGACAAUCUUCAUCUGUGUUAGAGUUGUUGAAAGGUCCCAAUUUUUGUGAUUUAAAGACGUGCGAGAAGUUUUUGAUGGAAAGAAAUCAGCACACAUUACUGUUGGAGCUUUACAAGUAUAAUGGAAUGCACCGUGAUGCACUCAAACUUCUUGAUCAACUAGUUCAGGAAUCAAAUUCUGGUGAAACGCACUCCGAGCUGACUCAGAAAAUCAGGCCAAAUAUGAUUAUUGAGUAUCUUAAGCCUCUUUGUAGGACUGAUCCCAUGCUUGUAUUAGAGUUUUCAAUGAAUGUUCUGGAGAGCUGCCCAAGUGAAACUAUUGAACUCUUUUUGUCUGGAAAUGUUCCAGCGGAACUGGUGAAUUCAUAUUUGAAGCAGCAUGCACCAAACAUGCAGUCAACAUAUUUAGAGCUUAUGCUUUCUAUGAGUGAAAAUGGGAUAAAUCCAAAGCUUCAAAAUGAGCUGGUCCAUCUAUACCUCUCAGAAGUAAUUGAUUGGUUCAAAGAUCUCAAGGAACAAAAAAAAUGGGAUGAGAAAACUUAUUCACCAACUCGUAGGAAAUUGUUGUCUGCUCUGGAUGGUAUUUCAGGCUACAAUGCAGCUGAUUUGUUAAAGCGGCUUCCACUAGAUGGUUUGUUUGAGGAGCGUGCAAUUUUGCUUGGGCGAAUGAAUCAGCACCAGCUUGCAUUAGCUCUAUAUGUUCACAAGCUUCAUUUACCAGAGUUAGCACUUGUCUACUGUGACCGGGUUUACGAGGCUGCACUUCAUCAACCUUCAAGAUCAUAUGCUAAUAUUUAUCUAACUCUUCUGCAAAUUUAUCUUAAUCCAAGGAGGGCAAUUAAGGAACUUGAACAAAGAACUGAAAACUCAUUUGCAGUAGUUGCACAGAGCACUGGUGUCCAAAAAUCUGGUUUUAUUAAAGUUAAGGGGGGCCGCCAGUCUAAGAAGAUUGCUGAAAUUGAAGGGGCAGACGAUAUGCGUAUCAGCCUCAGUAGCACUGACAGUGGACGAAGUGAUGGUGAUGCAGAUGAGAUGACCGAUGAGGGUGAUUCAAUAAUGUUGAGUCAAGCACUUGAUCUUUUAAGCCAGAGAUGGGACAGGAUAAAUGGUGCUCAGGCAUUGAGAAUAUUACCAAGAGACAUAAAGCUCCAGGAUCUGCUUCCUUUCCUCAAGCCCCUUCUGAGGAAAUCUACUGAAGGCAGCCGGAACUAUUCAGUUAUCAAGAGCUUGACAUCCAAUGAGAAUUUGCAGGUCAAAGAAGAGCUUUAUAAUUGUCGUCGAGCAAUAGUGAAGGUUGAUGCUGAUAGCAUGUGUUCUCUUUGCCAUAAGCGGAUUGGGAGCAGUGUUUUUGCAGUAUACCCCAAUGGAAAGACACUUGUGCAUUUUGUUUGCUUUAGAGAUUCCCAAAGUAUUAAGGCUGUUAGAGGUCCAGCAACAGUGAGGCGCACAUAAUCCAACCCCAUUUUCAAGUAUGAGUUGCUCAUUUUGCUCCCUAACUCUCUAUAAAUAUGCUCUGAAGCAAGCAUACUACUUAUGGACCGAGGAAGGAUUAUGGUUCUGAUUUUGGUUUUCACUAAUGGUGUUCUCCAAGUGAGCUCAGUUUUUAUACAUUCCUUCUCCAAGCAAUCAUAAGUUCCAGAGUCCACAAGAGAUUGUCACUAUGACAUAGUCCGUGAACUAUAUAUAUAUAUAUAUAUAUAUAUAUAUCUCUUGGGAAGUGCUGGGAAAACCUGUGCAGUACUCACCAGUCAGCUACUUCUCAUCUGACAUGUAAUAGGUAUUGGGAUCAAUAAGAGUGCCAUGUUCUUGAUUUAAGAGUGUAAAGACUUCUUGAAUUGAUAUGACACAGUGAGGUUUGCAUUCCCUCUCCCUAUUGUACAGUUUGUGAUCCGUGAGGUGGUUUGGGGCGUUGGGCUUUCUGAACGAAAAUAUUGUUUAAUUGGUUAAUGUAUUUGUUGUUGGAUUACUCCGCUGAUCUGUGUGAGUAAUUAAUAGGAUUCUGGCAUUUAA